CACGUCAGUGUAUGAGGGUGUCUCCUUCCGUUAGAACCAACCUACCAUGAAGGCUACUUUUGCAUUGUUUGAAAAUGGUAUGUUACAAAUGUUUUAAAGAGCUUGAGGAAACAUUUUUGUUUGAGGUGAUGCAUUAAUUAAUACAAUCAGACAAACCCUAUGGAAGAGGAAACCCUUGCAGAAAUCAAAAACUCCAAAAUUAUCUUAUCUAAAAUAAAAAAUAUGAUCCUAAAGAAGGAUGAUGAAAACUAUAACUUAUAUAUUUGGCUAGUGUUUAAUUUUCAACAACAAAAAAACUUAUUUGGGAAGUGUAUCAUAACUCCAUUAAAAGAUGAGUCGUUCCGGAGACACCAAAAUCUAUUACAGGGUGAAAUAACUCUUGGCCAGAUUUUACUUACUUCACAACAUAAUUUCAUAUUACAACAGCCUUCUUCCCCUAAAAAUCAGAGAAUUAACAAAAGAAAUAAGAAGUCAACUUUUG
rnacentral:lncRNA from 1 species